rnacentral:sRNA from 12 species
AAGGACUCGGAGGCAGAAUAUGAUAUCAAAAUUACUACAAAAAUUCGGGAUGA